rnacentral:rRNA from 1 species
ACGUUCGCGAGAAAGUCCACUGAAACCUUAUCAUUUAGAGGAAGGAGAAGUCGUAACAAGGUUUCCGUAGGUGAACCUGCGGAAGGAUCAUUGUCGAU